AUUCCAGCUCCAAUAGCGUAUAUUAAUGUUGUUGCAGUUAAAAAGCUCGUAGUUGGAUUCCUGGCACGGGGUAGCCGGUCCGCCUUGCAAAAGGUGCGCACUGAGCGGCCUCGGCCAUCCUUGCGAUGGUCUAUCCUGGCAUUCAGUUGUCGGGGUGGGGAUUCGCGACGUUUACUGUGAAAAAAUCAGAGUGUUCAACGCAGGCUUACGCCUUGAAUACAUUAGCAUGGAAUAAUAAGAUAGGACCUCGGUUCUAUUUGUUGGUUUCUAGAGCUGAGGUAAUGAUUAAUAGGGAUAGUUGGGGGUAUUCAUAUCUAAUUGUCAGAGGUGAAAUUCUUGGAUUUAUGAAAGAUGAACUCAUGCGAAAGCAUUUACCAAGGAUGUUUUCAUUA
rnacentral:rRNA from 1 species